rnacentral:miRNA from 1 species
GUCUUACCAGACAUGGUUAGA